ACACCGGAAUCGGCGGCAGGGGGAGCGGGGAAAUGAAUUCUGGUGAGUGGGGUCCCCCUCCUCGGGCCGCAUGAGCGAGACCUGCCCCCGUGCUGAGCUGUAGGAGGAAGCUGUGCAGUCCUUGGGCAGGGAUCUGCGGCAGCCCUGCUGCGCCCGGACGCGUAGAGCACCGGAGCACCCUGGGGUUGAACCACGCUGCCCUGGGAGUCAUCUCCAGGCCUGCGCCAGAUGGAACAGAGACUUCGGAUGUGUCUGACUUGGGCUCUUGUGUCGGCGUUCCUUAUAGGGGCAGAGACAGCUAACAGGGAAGUAUUCUGCCUCUUCCUGCCCUGGGGAGGGUUUUAUUGACUGUUUGAUUUUUUCCUUUGGACAGCUUGAGGAGGGAUAUAGUCCCCUGAAGCAUGCAUGAAGAAGAGGAGGGUGUGGGAGGAGGUGGUAGAUGUGACACACGAGCAGCAGGACAGCAAUCGUGUGACUUAGGGUUCAGUCUGUGGCGAGAGCUGGGACAGAACGCCUUUGCUUUCUUGCUCUGGUGACGGUCCCCAGCAUUGGCUAUGCUCUAGUGCAGGAGCCAUCUGUGCUUCCUCAGCCUGUGGUAGUGAGGAAAUAGGUCAGCUCAAGGCAGAUUUCCUCAGAUCUGCGUUCCCCACAUCACAGGUUGUUUGAGGAGAAAUCUCAGGAAUCCACAUAUUAAAUUUGCAAUGCAGGCACUCAGCUCCUGCAGGUGUGGGUCUGUGACACCUGUUUCUGGCCUUUUCCCAAGGAGGAUGGCUCCAUUCCCAUGGAGAGGGGGGUAAUUGCUGUCUAUCUGGACACGAUGAGGCACCUGACCUUGCUUCAGCUACUGGACUCCGGGAGGUCUGUGUCACCCAGUUCCUGGUCCAGAGCUCCUCAGACCUCUCCCAGGACUUGUCACUGUGCACCUUUCUCCACUGCCAGUCCUUCGGAUGCUGCCGUUCCCCUAUUCCACUUUCUUUCAGAGAGUCAUUCCCAGAUGGCUGCUAUGCCAACAGCUUUGCACUCCUGGGUGAUGUUCCCCUCUACUGGAUGUGGUGGAUUAUUAGUUGGAAACCAGGUAGAGGAGCCGUGCGUGCAGCACUUGGAUUUUGGCUUUGCCCUGAGCUUCCUGCCUCCCUGUCAGUCCUAGCUGCAAGAAGCCACAGAGAACGCUGCUGAAGCCUCUGGAAUCACCAACCACCGGAUAUCAGCAGGUUUGGCUACGGAAGCAGCCGCAGGCAGAGACUGUUGGGACGUCCAUGGUACCGAGGCAUCGUUUUCCAUCCAGGACAGAGUUUGUUGGCUCAUCUUCCAAAAGCUAAGUGUCGGGGAUGGGGGUGAUGAGAAGAGGAAAAAGGUUUUCAGUGCCAGGAGGCAAUUCAAAGCUAGCUUAGAGGAGAGGGCCCUAGAGGGCCAGACCCCUCAGAAGUAAAGGGUGAGGGUUUCUCCCCAGCAUCACCAGAGCCUUGGCUGGGCAGGGCAAUUCCAAGCCAUGUCUGUGUUCUAGCAAGCUUCACGUCUUGAGCCUUCUUUGAGUGUUUGAGAGUUCACAGGGUUAGGGUGCAUGAAGACAUUCCCAGCCAAGCCUGGGAUCCCUGUGCCAGGAACAUCCCUAGCUGCAAGGUGUAGGGUUGUAAGGAAGUAGGGUCCAGCAGGGGCACUUGAGAGAGACCCAGUGAUGCUGAGGGAGAGCUUGAGAGGUGAAGGAGUGUCAGGGCAGAGAGCAGGAGGUGAAAGUAAGGUGUAGAGGCUAGGAUGCAAAUUUGAGCGCAGGUGCAUGAGCCCUGAGAAGCGUCCUGUUUCCCUGAGAGCAGGUGCAGGCAGCCAGGCUGUGGCAGGCCAGCGGCAGAAGAGCCGAGAGGGGCAGGCAGGAAGCGUUAGUGGGGAGCAGGGUCCGCAGGGCCGGGUCUAACCGGGGGUUUCCCGCCCCGGCCCACCCUGGGAUCUCCUGUCUCCCCGCAGUCGAGGAUGUCUCCUCCCAUUCCUCGAGGCGGCGGUUGGUAAGGCUUCGUGCCUUUGCCACCGCCAAGAGCGCGGCUCUGUCAGCCUCUGCCCUGUCUCAGGGCCAAAGUUAGUUAGGCUAGGGAGAAACUGUGGAUGACUCGUCCUGCCCGCAGGACAACCCUUGGGACCCUGGAUCAGGAGCAUCCUCGACUGCUAGCAUAGGGCCUUAGAGAAGUAGGGUGAAGCAGGGCACUUGAGAGAGACCCAGCGAGGCUGAGGGAGGGCUCGAGAGGUGAAGGAGCGUCAGGCCGGAGAGCAGGCCAUGAAUGUAAGGUGUAGAGGCUAGGAUGCAAGUUUGAGUGCAGGUGCAUGAGCCCUGAGAAGCGUCCUGUUUCCCUGAGAGCAGGUGCAGGCAGCCAGGCUGUGUCAGGGCAGUGGCAGAAGCGCUGAGGGGGCAGGCAGUAGGGCUAGGGCUAGGCAGGAAAUGAGGAGGGGGGGCAGAGUCGACUGGGUUGGGGUUGAGCGUGGGAUGCCCACCCUGGUAUCUCUGUCCUGCUGCAAUCAGGGAUGUCACAGCCCUAGUGGAGGCCAGGGUGGGUGAGUGGGCUUAGCAUCCAUCAUGCCACCAAGACUUUGUCCGUGCAGGUGUCAGGCUGUGAGCGAAGCCAAAGCAAGCUGCCCAAGACUCUGGGCAUUGUUAAGAGAGGGGGAGCCCCAGGAUCAGUGUUUUUUGGCUGAUGUGCUGCAAAGUUCAUGCUUUAAUGUUUGGUUUUCUUUUUUGUAGCUGAGGAAGAGACACCAGGCUGGUGACAGCAGGACUUUCCCAGAGGGCGAGGCGGCAUUCCUUGGCACCGGAUGUGGAUGGCGAUCCCUGGACCUCCCAGAGCUAAGUGGAGGGCUCAAGCUGCAGAGGGCAUGAGAGCAGGGUGCUGGGUUGGGAGUUGCUGGGGGGGGAUUAUUGAGUCUGGUUUGGCUAGGGAGAUGUGCAUCAUGUGAGCGCUUAGGGCACCUGAAGGGCAAGUGUCAUUUUUGCUGGCCAUGCUGAGCUGUGGAGGGCAGAGCAGUCCCGGGCACGUGGUGUCUGUCGUGUGUUGCGCACUCUGUGUGUGUCGGGCAUCUCAUCUUUCACGUCUUUUCCCAUGGUCCCCCAGGGGCCCUAUGGGGAGCCCCGGCAUCACGGUUAGCAUUUCUGAUGUCUGCCUUUGUGGCCCCAGCAGCUUUGAUGGGAGAGCUGGGACUUGGAUCUGAAUCUUGUGUCCCUUUAGACUCAUCCAGUGCGAUGUCUUUUGAGGUCUUGUUCUGAGCUGUACAGACAGCUGUGCCCCGCCACGAUCCAUUUUGGCGGGUUAGGACUUGUUAGAAGUCCAAGCUAGGUCUUGGCUUGUGAGCGGAGGAGCGUCGGGCAUCCAUCUUUGUGAUUCUCGGAAGGCAUCAUCUUGUUAGCAUCCUCUUCUUGUAGGGUUCUGUGAGCCUGGCCAGCUCACCUUAUUUCUUCCGUUUGUCAUCUCAUUCUGAGUUUUCUCGGUCCUCCCGGUCAUUCUUCUUGUGGAGAGCUUUUUGUUGUUGUGGUGUCCUGUGUGAUGGAUGUUGUGGUGUCUUUGUCCCGGAGCUGCUCUGCCCUGCCGCAUGGGUGGGUGUAGGGGUAAUAGAAGAAGCCCCUGGGGCCUGAACUGGGUGAUGUCAGGUGGAGUUGUGGUGUGGAGGGCAUUGGUCGGUUGGCAGCACGUGUCUGUCGCUGUCAAGUUCCCGUGCCGCAGUGUGACUUUGUUCCUGUGUGCGUUUCAGAUGCGGAUGGAUUCACUUGAUGGCAGAGGGCCCCAUCCCGGGUGAGGGGGUGUCCCCAGAAGAGGAACUGAAGCGGGAUGUCAUCUGUCAAGGUGAAGCGGAGCAGGAGAUGUCACUUUCCACGGAGCUGCCCUCAGCAAGCAGAGGAUGGAUGCGGUUUGCCUGUCUCCUGAGACCUGUGGGGAGCAGAAGAGGAGUGUGUGAUGAAGCCUUGCUAUUUUCCAUUUGAAGGUGCCAUCCAGGUCCACCCCGUGACGACGGCAGGGGGCUCGGAGCGCGGCCGAGGCGUGCGGGGCGAGGACGUAGGUAUUCUUAGGAGACGCUGAGGAAGAGACACCAGCCCAGUGGGAGCUGAGGUCCACCCCGUGACGACGGCAGGGGGCUCGGAGCGCGGCCGAGGCGUGCGGGGCGAGGACGUAGGUAUUCUUAGGAGACGCUGAGGAAGAGACACCAGGCCGGUGGUGGCAGGACUUUCCCAGAGGGCGAGGCGGCGUUCCUUGGCACUGAUGUGGAUGGUGAUCACCGGACCUCCCAGAGCUAAGUGGAGGGCUCGAGGCACAGAGGGGAUGAGAGCAGGGUGCUGGGUUGGGAGUUGCUGGGGGGGAUUGAGUUCAGUAUGGAUCUGGAGAUGUGCAGGAUGUGAGUGCUUAGGGCACAUGAAAGGCAAGUGUCAUUUCUGAUUGUAAUGCUGAGACAGGCAGGGCAGAGCAGUCCCAGGCACGUGGUGUCUGUUGUCCACUCUGUGUGUGUCAGGCAUCUCAUCUUUCGCGUCUUUUCCCAUAGCCCCUCAAGGGGCCUGUGGGGAACCCUGGGAUCACUGUUAGCAUUUCUGAUGUCUGCCUUCCUGGCUCCAGUGGCUUUGACUGGAGAGCUGGGACUUAGAUCUGAACCUCAUCUCUGUUCAGAGUCAUCCAGUGCGAUGUCUUUUGAGGUCUUGUUCUGAGCUGUACAGACAGCUGUGCCCCGCCACGAUCCAUUUUGGCGGGUUAGGACUUGUUUAGAAGUCCAAGCUAGGUCUUGGCUUGUGAGCGGAGGAGCGUCGGGCAUCCAUCUUUGUGAUUCUCGGAAGGCAUCAUCUUGUUAGCAUCCUCUUCUUGUAGGAUUCUGUGAGCCUGGCCAGCUCACCUUGUUUCUUCCGUUUGUCAUCUCAUUCUGAGUUCUCUCGGUCCUCCCGGUCGUUCUUCGUGCGGAGAGCUUUUUGUUGUUGUGGUGUCCCCUGGUUUGCGGUGUCCGAUGUGACGGGUGUUGGUGUGGCUUUGUCCCGGAGCUGCUCUGUCCUGCCGCAUGGCUGGGUGUAGGGGUAAUAGAAGAAGCCCCUGGGGCCUGAACUGGGUGAUGUCAGGUGGAGUUGUGGCGUGGAGGGCAUUCAUAGGUUGGCAGCACGUGUCUGUCGCUGUCAAGUUCCCAUGCCGCAGUGUGACUUUGUUCCUGUGCGUGUUUCAGAUGCGGAUGGAUUCACUUGAUGGCAGAGGGCCCCAUCCCGGGUGAGGGGGUGUCCCCAGAAGAGGAACUGAAGCGGGAUGUCAUCUGUCAAGGUGAAGCGGAGCAGGAGAUGUCACUUUCCACGGAGCUGCCCUCAGCAAGCAGAGGAUGGAUGCGGUUUGCCUGUCUCCUGAGACCUGUGGGGAGCAGAAGAGGAGUGUGUGAUGAAGCCUUGCUAUUUUUCAUUUGAAGGUGCCAUCCAGCCAGGUCCACCCCGUGACGACGGCAGGGGGCUCGGAGCGCGGCCGAGGCGUGCGGGGCGAGGACGUAGGUAUUCUUAGGAGACGCUGAGGAAGAGACACCAGGCCGGUGGUGGCAGGACUUUCCCAGAGGGCGAGGCGGCGUUCCUUGGCACUGAUGUGGAUGGUGAUCACCGGACCUCCCAGAGCUAAGUGGAGGGCUCGAGGCACAGAGGGGAUGAGAGCAGGGUGCUGGGUUGGGAGUUGCUGGGGGGGAUUGAGUUCAGUAUGGAUCUGGAGAUGUGCAGGAUGUGAGUGCUUAGGGCACAUGAAAGUUCUGAUUGUAAUGCUGAGACAGGCAGGGCAGAGCAGUCCCAGGCACGUGGUGUCUGUUGUCCACUCUGUGUGUGUCAGGCAUCUCAUCUUUCACGUCUUUUCCCAUAGCCCCUCAAGGGGCCUGUGGGGAACCCUGGGAUCACUGUUAGCAUUUCUGAUGUCUGCCUUCCUGGCUCCAGUGGCUUUGACUGGAGAGCUGGGACUUAGAUCUGAACCUCAUCUCUGUUCAGAGUCAUCCAGUGCGAUGUCUUUUGAGGUCUUGUUCUGAGCUGUACAGACAGCUGUGCCCUGCCACGAUCCAUUUUGGCGGGUUAGGACUUGUUUAGAAGUCCAAGCUAGGUCUUGGCUUGUGAGCGGAGGAGCGUCGGGCAUCCAUCUUUGUGAUUCUUGAAGUGAUUCAUCUUGUUGGCAUCCUCUUCUUGUAGGAUUCUGUGAGCCUGGCCAGCUCACCUUGUUUCUUCCGUUUGUCAUCUCAUUCUGAGUUCUCUCGGUCCUCCCGGUCGUUCUUCGUGCGGAGAGCUUUUUGUUGUUGUGGUGUCCCCUGGUUUGUGGUGUCCGAUGUGACGGGUGUUGGUGUGGCUUUGUCCCGGAGCUGCUCUGUCCUGCCGCAUGGGUGGGUGUAGGGGUAAUAGAAGAAGCCCCUGGGGCCUGAACUGGGUGAUGUCAGGUGGAGUUGUGGUGUGGAGGGCAUUGGUCGGUUGGCAGCACGUGUCUGUCACUGUCAAAUUCCCGUGCUGCAGUGUGACUAUUUUCCUGACUUUGUUUCAGAUGCAGAUGGAUUCAAUCCAUGGCAGAGCGCCUCAUCCUGGGUGAGGGGGUUCCUCUGUGAAGGUGUAAGUCACUGUCUUAGCUGGGGUAGUGUAAAUAAUGACUGUGUAAGAGUUCUUUUUUUCUCUUUACUUUCAGGAAGUGAUGGUAGAUGUCAUCUGUCAAGGUGAAGCGGAGCAGGAGAGUGAACAGAGGAUGCAAGAGGAGCCAAGUGUGCUUUGAGAGUUUCCUUCUGUUUUGUGUCCCAAGCUUUUUUCCUAUUCCUUUAGGAGGUGUUGAUAAAAUUAUUCUUUUUCCACACGGACCUUCCCUUCACGGUAUUAAACGUGGAACCUUACUGCUGCCUGGACUCUCUGCCCUCCCUUGCCACGGAGACCUUUGUCUGUGACCCCUCAGCUGUGGUGAUGCAUCACGGGAAGGGCUUUGGCUCAGGACACUACACAGCCUAUUGCUACAACACGGAGGGAGGUUUUUGGGUGCACUGCAAUGACUCCAAACUGAACGUGUGUAGUGUGGAGGAGGUGUGCAAGACCCAGGCCUACAUCCUCUUCUACACUCAGAGAACGCUGCAGGACAAAGCAGGAAUCCCAGAAAAACAACUCCAAGCUCAGGUUUUUGCCACCCAAAACCAGUGACAAGGACACAAGACUGACAUUGCCAUGAGGGGACAUUCCCAGCUUCUUUUGGGGAACUUUUGGUGUUCAUCGUCUCCUUCUUUGCAGGGAAAACUGCAGGAAUGGGAUCAGGGUAGGGACGGGAUCCGGGCAGGGACGGGAUCCGGGCAGGAAAGGGAUCGGGGCAUGGAUCACGGCAGGGACGGGAUCAGGGCAAGAUAUUUGGAAAACCUUCUGGAGCUGGGCAGUUCCGAUUUGGGGCAGAAUCUUGGGGUUUGAUUGUCUUUUCAGCUCAAAAAAAAAAAAGAAACUAUAAAGUUUGAUGCUGUUCAUUCAUCCCCUAUCAAAGAGGAAUGAGCCCAAGCUGGCAAUGGGAGAAUCCAGCUGGAUCAACACCCUUCAAUCCCUAAAAAUCCUGAUCCAGCUCCAUCUCCAAGAGGAACAGGUACAGUACCCUUGAGCGGUCUGGUAAAUCCCAGGGAAACUCCCAGAGCUGUUCCUACUGGAAAAAAAAGUUUAAAUUCUUCUCAGUUCCUCCUCUGCUGCCCCAAUAGCGAUUUCUGCGCCCUGGGUGAAGCUUUGCCAGCAGCUCUGUGUCCCCAACUUUAGUUUUUCCUUACAGAAAAGUUACCAAGCAUAAGCUUAUGCUUUCCCUCCUAUGCACUGUGACAUUCCCAGGUCCUUUCAAAGCCUUGUAUUUAGAGACCUGUUGAAUACCCAGAUCUGAAUUUAUCUUGCUCCCUGUCACCUCCCAUUCCUCCCUUUGUACGCUCCUUGCCCAAAAGGCUCUGAAGCAUGUGUGGUUUGUUUCCUAAAAUGAGCGCUGGGUCUGUGUUGAGGAGGUGUCCCCAAAAUGAGGAAGAUGAAUCUUCCUGAUCCUGACCUUUCUACCUGUUCAAUGCAUUUGUGACCCAUGUUAGAGCUUAGAGUUUUGUGUAUUGAAUGGGUCCUUUGAGCAGGAAGUCUGCAGCUAUGUUGCGUGCUCUUGAGCCCAUUUUGGUUUUCGUGACAGGCCUAGCUCCGUCGACAUAAAGCCGAUAAGCAAGGAGUUAGCGCAUCUGAGUUAUCUCAGAUGUGGCUUGUGUUGAGUGUGUAUAAAACUUCCCUAUGUCUUUCAGCUAUUUCAGCUACUUACUCUCUUCACUUUCCUAGGAAUCCCUAAUUGUUCCAAACUGAUGUUUCCCUCUAAGGAUUUUUCCUUUCUUGUAGGUGGCUUUUUUUGUUUUUUUUUCCGUUUUGCCAGAGAGACACGGGUGACAUUGUGUUGGGCCUGCUGGUCUCUGCCUCCCCUUUUAGGGGGGAUGCUGGCCUCAGGCUGGCGUGGAUACUAUCUGCUAUUGAGUGGGGGGGUAAGGAGAGCUGGCUGCUUAGCAGCGCCUAUUUUCUCACCCUGCUCCAAAGAACUUUAGAUUUUUUUGCUCGGCCCCUGUUAACAGCUCUGGGUACUAUUUAGGCUGAGCUGCUGUGAUGGCCAUGGAGGGGUGGGCUAAAGAGGCCUUGCAGAUCUUGUUUUUGUGAGUUUUGACCGCUUGGUUGGUGUGAUGUGUGUUAUUUCUGCGUGACUUUUUUUUCUUCAGUGUUGCUUUGAACCUCUCAUGCCACGAGUUACUGUGGGAGAGGAAAAAACCUUCAGGCAGCUUUCGCGUGUUGUCGGUCUUAUGAAGGUUUUCCACCUUAGUCUUUCUCUGAGACAGAAAAGGAUAGGCUGAACGUGCAGAAGAAACACUAUGGAGUCAAGAGACUAUUUGUAAAGACAGAGGAUUUGUUCAUGAGUGGGUUGUUCCAUUCUUAUUUGUUUCUCCAAAUGCCCUAUUUGCACGAUUCCUUUAAUUCACGGGCAAGAUGUGCAUCUGGGGAUAGGUUUGGUUUACAUUUCUGGGUGCCUUUGAGGGAGGCUAUUGGUGGUUGACUAUGUGCUAUUUGUCUUACGAGAUGCUUGAACAGAGAUGCAGAGGAGAAACCCUCUGUGCCCGUGAGGAAGUGAAAAAAAAAAAUCUCUGUUCCUUGAGAGGAACAACCCUUUAUUUUGCAGCUCUUCCUCUUUACGAGGUGAGCCUCUUGUACGCCGGUCUAUGACUCCUGAUUGACAAGCCGCUUGGGAAACUUCUCAGGAGAGGGUGACCCAAGGCAGAGUUUCCCCGGGUGGCUGUUUUUGUGACCUUUCAAUAAAUCCACCCAAGAACGGUUCACUUUUGUGUAAGAUUUCUGAGUCUAAGAGCAAGUCUUGUCCUCCAGAAUGGAUCUGAGACUAUUGUCCAGUAGCGAAAUGGACUGAAAAGAACCACCUACCCCUUUUCUCUUUGUUUUCCAGGAAAGCGAACAGAGUAUGCAAGAGGAGCCAAGUGUGUUUUGAGUUUGAUUCUGUUUUGUUUUCCAAGUUUUUUUUUUUCCAUUGUUUUAGGAGGUGUUAAUAAAGUUAUUUUUUUUGCA